CAGACGCAUGGCAGGCUCCCGCAGCCCACCCGCACGCCCUCACCGACCGCCCUGACAUGUAUCUCUGCCCGCGUCUGUCCGCGAGGCGGGGACAGGUCUUAUUCCUCUCUGCGUGCCCGGCACAGUGCCUGGCACACCCGCCGUGCCUGCUGAAUAUUUCAUGAACAAAUGAGACGUCGUAACACUUACCGCAGGUUCACAGGAGGACUGAUAUUCACACCCACCGGGCACACGGGAAACGCACGUGCUCGCCCUGAGGGGUGGGGAAACCCAUCC